rnacentral:rRNA from 1 species
ACACUCCUACGGGAGGCAGCAGUGGGGAAUAUUGCACAAUGGGCGCAAGCCUGAUGCAGCCAUGCCGCGUGUAUGAAGAAGGCCUUCGGGUUGUAAAGUACUUUCAGCGGGGAGGAAGGCAAUACGGUUAAUAACCGUGUUGAUUGACGUUACCCGCAGAAGAAGCACCGGCUAACUCCGUGCCAGCAGCCGCGGUAAUACGGAGGGUGCAAGCGUUAAUCGGAAUUACUGGGCGUAAAGCGCACGCAGGCGGUCUGUCAAGUCGGAUGUGAAAUCCCCGGGCUCAACCUGGGAACUGCAUUCGAAACUGGCAGGCUUGAGUCUUGUAGAGGGGGGUAGAAUUCCAGGUGUAGCGGUGAAAUGCGUAGAGAUCUGGAGGAAUACCGGUGGCGAAGGCGGCCCCCUGGACAAAGACUGACGCUCAGGUGCGAAAGCGUGGGGAGCAAACAGGAUUAGAAACCCUGGUAGUCCCAUG